UUCUGUCUGCUUUGCAUGGUUUCCUCCAGCCCAGCCCAGCUGCUCAGAAUUUAUAAAGCAGGCCUUUUCAUUGUGACUGAACUGCAUCAGAUAGGCAGGGGGAACAAGAUGGAAUCACAGACCCAGGUCCUCAUGUUCCUGCUGCUCUGGGUAUCUGGUACCUGUGGGGACAUUGUGAUGACUCAGUCUCCAUCUUCCCUGGCUGUAUCAGCAAGAGAGAAGGUCACUAUGAGCUGCAAGUCCAGUCAGAGUCUUUUAUGGAGUGAAGACCAGAAGAACUACAUGGCCUGGUACCAGCAGAAACCAGGGCAGUCUCCUAAACUGCUAAUCUACUAUGCAUCCACUAGAGCAUCUGGGGUCCCUGAUCGCUUCAUAGGCAGUGGAUCUGGGACAGAUUUCACUCUGACCAUCAGCAGUGUGCAGGCUGAAGAUCUGGCAUAUUAUUACUGUCAACAGAGUUAUAAUACUCCACCCACAGUGCUUCAGCCUCCUACACAAACCUCCUUGAAAGUUUUAAACAGAUGUGUACACCACACAGCCCUGGGCAUGCACACUUCUCCCUUCUGCCUUAGACCUUUCAUGCCUGAAAAACUGACAAAAAUGUUUACAGAGCCCAGUAAAAACUAA